rnacentral:lncRNA from 1 species
UUAUGUUUAUGGAUUAGUACUGUGCUUGGGCCUAAGACUCGGUUAGUCCCUGUUUAAUACAUGAUGUAGGUUAUGGUUUAUUGUUGAGUUGUGUUUGAACUAAUCUUGUGGCAUGUGUUGUUUACCACGCUAUGGUAUUUGAGGAGGACCCUAGUAGAGGUCUUAUGUUUGUGGUUUGAUACAUGCACAGGUUAGGUUCUAGUUCUUUGGAUGUGACUCCGGCUUGAUGUAUGUUAUGUUGACCCAGCUAGAGUGAUGAGAGCUCUAGUAGGGGAUCCUUUUAUGUUUUCAGUUAUGUCGCAUACAGGUCAAGCUCGGUAUUUACAUCAUAUGUUGCAG